AACGAACGCUGGCGGCAGGCCUAAUACAUGCAAGUCGAACGGGCGUAGCAAUACGUCAGUGGCGGACGGGUGAGUAACACGUGGGAACAUGCCUUUCGGUUCGGAAUAACGCAGGGAAACUUGCGCUAAUACCGGAUGACCCGGCGACGGAAAAGAUUUAUCGCCGAAAGAUUGGCCCGCGUAGGAUUAGCUAGUUGGUGAGGUAACGGCCCACCAAGGCGACGAUCCUUAGCUGGUUUGAGAGAACGAUCAGCCACACUGGGACUGAGACACGGCCCAGACUCCUACGGGAGGCAGCAGUAGGGAAUCUUGGACAAUGGGGGAAACCCUGAUCCAGCCAUGCCGCGUGAGUGAUGAAGGCCUUGGUUGUAA
rnacentral:rRNA from 1 species